AUCCGAAUAGUGUAGUGGUUAUCACGUUUGCUUUACACGCAAAAGGUCUCCGGUUCGAACCCGGGUUCGGAUA
rnacentral:tRNA from 1 species